UUUUACCUCCUCUCUUUUAAAGUAUUACAAACUGACGAACUAAAAUAAAAUGGUGAGCACAGUGCAUUUUGUUACCACAAUUGGUAAUAGGCGCACAAUCCAUGUGAAUUGUAUAAAAGGUAAGUACUAGUAAAAAUGGAUUGCUGGUGUUUUUAUAGAGUUUGUAGUACCAUCACAAUCAAAGUUCGUACUGACAUAAGUUCUGGUCGUGCUCCGGCUAGAAAAAGAUACAUAAGUACACUGCGGCCAAAGUAUUACAAACUGACAAACAUAAUCAGCCACCUCGCUAGAACAGAGCAUCUCAGACGCCUCUACUCCUGUUGCUUUUCCUUGUGCAGGAGGCUGUUGACGGAUCACACAGUGAUGCAGGUCGCCAUGGUAGCGACACGGGCAGUGACGCGGGUCUCCGAACUGAUGGUCGCGACGAACUCGGCCACCCUGAAGCCACGGGGUUGGACUGAGCAUGGCGCUAAAGUUGAGUAGAACAUUUAGGAAUUAGGAUAAAUAGGAAACAACAAAUAGGUGAAGAAACCGUGAAGUGAAAUGAGUUAUAGAAGACAAUAUGCAUUUUUCUCACUAAAACAAACUUCUGUUUGUGUGCAACUUCUGUACUUGCAUAUAUUUUGGAGGGAGAAACACAGAAAAUACUACCACAUGGAUCAACACAUUUGGAGGGAGAAACUAUAGAUGUACAUCACGGGGUAGCAAAUAAUAUGAACUCCAGGC
rnacentral:lncRNA from 1 species